rnacentral:misc_RNA from 1 species
GAAAUGCGAUAAGUAAUGUGAAUUGCAGAAUUCAGUGAAUCAUCGAAUCUUUGAACGCACAUUGCGCCCGCUAGUAUUCUGGCGGGCAUGCCUGUUCGAGCGUCAUUUCAACUAUCAAGCCCUAGGCUUGUGUUGGAGCCCUGCGGCUGUCCGCAGCCUCCUAAAAGCAGUGGCGAGCUCUCUAUCACACCGAGUGCAGUAGUUUACUCUUCGCUCAGGGCGUGUAGCGAGUUUCGGCCGUGAAACCCCCCUACUUUUAAAAGGUUGACCUCGGAUCAGGUAGGAAUACCCGCUGAACUUAA